GAUGAACGCUGGCGGCGUGCCUAAUACAUGCAAGUCGAGCGAACGGACGAGAAGCUUGCUUCUCUGAUGUUAGCGGCGGACGGGUGAGUACCACGUGGAUAACCUACCUAUAAGACUGGGAUAACUUCGGGAAACCGGAGCUAAUACCGGAUAAUAUUUUGAACCGCAUGGUUCAAAAGUGAAAGACGGUCUUGCUGUCACUUAUAGAUGGAUCCGCGCUGCAUUAGCUAGUUGGUAAGGUAACGGCUUACCAAGGCAACGAUGCAUAGCCGACCUGAGAGGGUGAUCGGCCACACUGGAACUGAGACACGGUCCAGACUCCUACGGGAGGCAGCAGUAGGGAAUCUUCCGCAAUGGGCGAAAGCCUGACGGAGCAACGCCGCGUGAGUGAUGAAGGUCUUCGGAUCGUAAAACUCUGUUAUUAGGGAAGAACAUAUGUGUAAGUAACUGUGCACAUCUUGACGGUACCUAAUCAGAAAGCCACGGCUAACUACGUG
rnacentral:rRNA from 1 species